rnacentral:tRNA from 1 species
GCUGGCUCAGUGGUUAGAGCCUAGGGCUAGCAAGUAAACGGUCCCGAGAUCGAAUCUCGCAAGAGGCA